UUUAAAAAAAAUAACUUAUAGAAUUUUUUUUUUUCUGUCAACUUUCAUUUAACACUCCAGUCCAGUUGGUGGCCGUAAUGCACUUUCAUAGUCGGUCAAGCAGCCGCCAUUAAACUCCAGAGGAAGAUAUGCACUGGAAAAUACCUGUGCGUUGUGUGAAAUGUCCUAUUUCACGGAGUUACCUUUUCAGUAUCAUUUUGAUAUUAAGCARUGWUCCGGCGGAAAACAACAGAUGACACCGCGGCGGUCCAACAAGACCGAACUCACGACCUGAAAAAUGGCCAAACCUACCAGCCAGACCUCAGACCACGGUGCUGAGGAGCUCUUACGGAGUCCACCAGGACGAAAAGAAAUUCAUACAGCAAGGCAGAGUGUGUAAUGCAGUAAAGAUCUACAAAAUGGAGGACGAAUGUGAGGACGAAGUCAUGAAGCCGGUAUGUAUAAUCACUGCGUUGAUUCCCGACUGUAAAACGGCUGGUUGAGAAUAAUUUUAACUUAUUUACUUACGCAUUUUUGAGAAAUCGAUAUAUUUGCUACAAUGUUUUUUUUAAU